ACUCUACCUUCUUCACUAUGCCAUUUUCAACAAUCUUGACCCCAAAAUAAAAUUCCCUGCCCUGAAUAAAGAAGACCCAAGCUAUGAAAUCACAAAAACUUCCUCUAUCCCGGUAGCUUACAGCAUCUGGUGAAGUCGGUAAUUUCUCAAAAAAAAAAUAAAACAGGGACCAACCCUAGACAGACAGAGAUAUGCGACCUUUAAGACAAAGAACUCAAAAUCGUGCUUUGAGGAAACUCAAUGAAAUUCAAGAUAAACAAACAUGUCCCCCAAAAUGACAGUCAAUGUUACGAUAAAAAUAAAGAUUAGUAAAAGACUGACCAGAUAAUGAGAUAGCCUUAUAUUUCCAAGGUCAUCUUGACCUUCAAGAAGGGGUCAAAUAUGCAUUAACAAGUGAAAAAUAGGAAUAUAAAAAGUAGGAUCAUUUGCAAGGCAAUACACAGUAUCUAAUGUGGAAAGUAACGACGGAUAUAAUUAAGACCAGCAAAAGGCCUGCUAUGUGAAAUGAGUAACUUGCACAAGGCACAUCUGCUGAUCUGAGCAGCGGAGAGGGAAGAGAUUAUUCUGGAAGAGGCAGAGGAGUGGUGUGAGAUAAGGACACACUGGUGCAAAAUAGUAUCAUUAGCAAACAGAACCUGCCGGGGGACUGUGGCCUAUAUGACUUUUCUUUCCACUGUCCUCUGUGAGAGCUCAAAUGCACCAUUUUCUGUUCCAAGGAUUUGCUCCCGCAGCCCUCACUCCACCCCAGUUAGAAGCUGCUGGUAUUUAUUCCUCUGCAGUCUCCCAUGGACAAACUCCCACUCCUUCUUCGUGGAGCAUGGUCUAGAGCAGAGGUCAUCUCUCCCUCCCUCCAAAUCCCACAGUAAUUGGCAUGAGCCUCUCUCAUAGCUUGCUCACGUGCCACCUAAUUCUGCACCUUUUCAUUUCAACUAGAUUGAGAGUUAGGUGUGGAUCAUGAACCUUAAACAACACCUUCAUCAACAGGAUGUGUAAAUGACUGCUUUCACUGUUCUAUCGUGAACAGAAGAAAUACACCAUUAAAAUGAUUGUUUAAAUUAAUUUAACCACAAAAACUUUCCCAAAUGCUGUCAACAAUGCAACCGCAAAAGAAUUACUCUCCUAAAUUGUGAGAUUGUAGAAUGAAACAAGAAGCAAAGAAAAUUAUGUCAAAUAUUGGAGAGGAGCCUCAGAAUUUGAAUCCCUCUUCUACAAAUAUCAUUUGACAUGAUGCCUCUCUCUACCUGAGACACAGAAUGGCACCUGUGCCCCAUACCCACUGGAGACUGUGGAAAUCUGGAGGGAGCAACCUUGGUGAUUCUGCCCCAAGAGAAGGGAUUCUCUGGAGCUCUGGACAACAUCCUGGGACUAAGAUGGACAGUGGGAGUAUUGCAGCUUGGAGAGGAUAAUAUUUAAGCCGCUCCUCUGUCUGCUGGGCAUGUUCUCUAGGAUGUGUCAACAGCUCCGCCAACACAAAGCACCAAAAGUACCUGACUGUGGCCUGAGGAGUCAAGAUCAGGGCUGGAAGAAGGAAGACAGCAGAAGCAACUCCAGGGCUCUCACAAUGGCCAAGCGGCAAUUUGGUGAUGCCUCCGACUGGGACCGGCUACCAGGUGAUUCCGGUGGCUAUAAGACCUUUCCUUAUUUUUUUCUAGGUGUUGAAAACUUUCGGGUGGGGGAAAGAGAGUUCAUGGUGCACAGAACACCACUUUUCAUCACCUUCUGCUCUAUCUCUGUUUUCAAUCAUCUUUCGUUUUCUCUCUCCUUGACUUUCCCAAAACCUCAAUUUCUUCUCCCCAAGUUGUAUAAAGCAAACCCUGUGAUUCUCCCUUCUACACUACACUGUUAUCAACAAUCUUGACCACAAAAUUAAAUCUCUUGUCCUGAGAAAGAGUGCGCCAGCUGUUAAAUUACACACAUUUCCUCUACUCCUGUAGUUCACAGUGUCGGCAAAGAAGGUAAUGCUGCAGUCAACCUACGGAAGCAGCACCAUCCUCUGAGCAGGCUCUCUUGGCCUUGUUUUCCCCAGCCAAGUUGCAGAAAGCCCCAGGCUGUGGAUCCUAGCAUUCUAAAUUGCCUUUCUUUCUCCCUGCAGUCCCCAGGUUCUCACAGAUAUGUCAGGGCUGAGGUUGCUCCACAUUGGGCCAGGGAGGUUUGUGCACAGAAUGUGGUUGGCUUU
rnacentral:lncRNA from 1 species